CCUACGGGAGGCAGCAGUGAGGAAUAUUGGUCAAUGGCCGGAAGGCUGAACCAGCCAAGUAGCGUGAAGGAUGACUGCCCUAUGGGUUGUAAACUUCUUUUAUAAAGGGAUAAAGUUAGGCACGUGUGCCUGUUUGUAUGUACUUUAUGAAUAAGGAUCGGCUAACUCCGUGCCAGCAGCCGCGGUAAUACGGAGGAUCCGAGUGUUAUCCGGAUUUAUUGGGUUUAAAGGGAGCGUAGGUGGGUUGUUAAGUGAGUUGUGAAAGUUUGUGGCUCAACCGUCAAAGUGCGAUUGAUACUGGCUGCCUUGAGUACAGGUGAGGUAGGCGGAAUUCGUGGUGUAGCGGUGAAAUGCUUAGAUAUCACGAAGAACUCCGAUUGCGAAGGCAGCCUACCAAACUGCUACUGACGCUGAGGCUCGAAAGCGUGGGUAUCGAACAGGAUUAGAUACCCUUGUAGUC
rnacentral:rRNA from 1 species